rnacentral:rRNA from 1 species
UACGAAGGGGGCUAGCGUUGUUCGGAAUCACUGGGCGUAAAGGGUGCGUAGGCGGGUCUUUAAGUCCGGGGUGAAAUCCUGGAGCUCAACUCCAGAACUGCCUUUGAUACUGAAGAUCUUGAGUUCGGGAGAGGUGAGUGGAACUGCGAGUGUAGAGGUGAAAUUCGUAGAUAUUCGCAAGAACACCAGUGGCGAAGGCGGCUCACUGGCCCGAUACUGACGCUGAGGCACGAAAGCGUGGGGAGCAAACAGG